rnacentral:rRNA from 1 species
AGAACGAACGCUGGCGGCAGGCCUAACACAUGCAAGUCGAACGCCCCGCAAGGGGAGUGGCAGACGGGUGAGUAACGCGUGGGAACAUACCCUUCGGUUCGGAAUAGCUCAGGGAAACUUGGAUUAAUACCGGAUACGUCCGUAAGGAGAAAGAUUUAUCGCCGAAGGAUUGGCCCGCGUCUGAUUAGCUUGUUGGUGAGGUAAUGGCUCACCAAGGCGACGAUCAGUAGCUGGUCUGAGAGGAUGACCAGCCACAUUGGGACUGAGACACGGCCCAAACUCCUACGGGAGGCAGCAGUGGGGAAUUUU